rnacentral:rRNA from 1 species
UGCAGUCGAGCGAACAGAUAAGGAGCUUGCUCCUUUGACGUUAGCGGCGGACGGGUGAGUAACACGUGGGUAACCUACCUAUAAGACUGGAAUAACUCCGGGAAACCGGGGCUAAUGCCGGAUAACAUUUAGAACCGCAUGGUUCUAAAGUGAAAGAUGGUUUUGCUAUCACUUAUAGAUGGACCCGCGCCGUAUUAGCUAGUUGGUAAGGUAACGGCUUACCAAGGCAACGAUACGUAGCCGACCUGAGAGGGUGAUCGGCCACACUGGAACUGAGACACGGUCCAGACUCCUACGGGAGGCAGCAGUAGGGAAUCUUCCGCAAUGGGCGAAAGCCUGACGGAGCAACGCCGCGUGAGUGAUGAAGGUCUUCGGAUCGUAAAACUCUGUUAUUAGGGAAGAACAAAUGUGUAAGUAACUGUGCACGUCUUGACGGUACCUAAUCAGAAAGCCACGGCUAACUACGUGCCAGCAGCCGCGGUAAUACGUAGGUGGCAAGCGUUAUCCGGAAUUAUUGGGCGUAAAGCGCGCGUAGGCGGUUUCUUAAGUCUGAUGUGAAAGCCCACGGCUCAUCCGUGGAGGGUCAUUGGAAACUGGGAAACUUGAGUGCAGAAGAGGAAAGUGGAAUUCCAUGUGUAGCGGUGAAAUGCGCAGAGAUAUGGAGGAACACCAGUGGCGAAGGCGACUUUUCUGGUCUGUAACUGACGCUGAUGUGCGAAAGCGUGGGGAUCAAACAGGAUU